AUGUCUACCAUAUGUCUUAGGUUGCACACACCAACAUUUUUUUAUGAAGAGCCUAGGAAAACACUUAGCUACAUAACAGGAGGAGCGCAUACUGUUUUAAUGAAGACCAGGAUGCCUGAACGUAUUAUGAAGACUUUUUCCUUCCCACAGAGCAAGCCCUGUAUGCAGAAUUCUGAAACCAAUAUACAGCCAGGAAAAGAAAAGCUUCAACUGGAUGAAGACUGCCAAGCGUGA
rnacentral:lncRNA from 1 species